UGAGAUUAAAGGCCGAGUGCUGGGA
rnacentral:piRNA from 1 species